rnacentral:rRNA from 1 species
UGCCAGCAGCCGCGGUAAUACAGAGGGUGCGAGCGUUAAUCGGAAUUAUUGGGCGUAAAGGGCGCGUAGGUGGAUGAAUAAGUUAGAUGUGAAAUACCAGGGCUCAACCUUGGAACUGCAUAUAAUACUGUUCAUCUAGAGUACGGUAGAGGUAAGUGGAAUUUCCGGAGUAGCGGUGAAAUGCGUAGAUACCGGAAGGAACACCAGUGGCGAAGGCGGCUUACUGGACCGAUACUGACACUGAGGCGCGAAAGCGUGGGUAGCGAACAGGAUUAGAUA